GGGGGGUGGCACGGUGCAGCCCAAUGCGUAACUCUCUGUUGAACCAGACGCUUGAGAAAGACACGCACUCCAGAAACACAGAGCAGCGAGGCACAUCGUUGUCUUUCUUUUCUUUUUCUCUUUCUUUCACUCUUACUUUCCCCUCUCUCUCUCUCUCUCUCUCUCUCUCUCUUUCUCUGGUUUUGCACUUCAAACUGUGACAUGGAGACCCUCCACACAGCCAUCAUGGUUACUGGGGUGCCCAAGAAAGAACACUGUACCACCGAGACCAACUACGUAGAUCUUGGGAGCACCAACACAGUGAAAGUCUCAUUCGCCAGUGAAGGAAACCAGCGAGCUGUAUUCAAGCAUAAAGGGAACUAUGUGGAAAAUGAAGAAGGUUGUACAGAUCACAGGAAGGCUGGAAAGGAUGUUUCCUAUGACAUCUUAGAUAAGGAUUUAAAAAUUGAAAGUUUCCUUGAGAAGGAAGAGACAGCUGUAAUGAGCCAUGAACCAGAGGAAAUGGAUUACACAGACAUGUAUCUGAACAGCAGGUGUGAGUCUGAAUCAGAAUCAGAAGACGGAGAUCCUGACGAACGAGAACACGACAUGCCGGUGGCCGAGGAGACAGAAUCACACUACAUCACGACACAUGAGAUUCAGCUCACUGAACUGGACCACGACAUGGACCACGAGCUCGGCCGUGCUGCCAGCUCCUGCUGGGAUUACGAAGACGACAACCUUGUGUACUCAUUUGUGGACUAUGCGUCUUUCAAGAGCGGUGACCAGCAAAGCGGAGAGAGGGGUCAGCGUAGAGCAGCGAGCAGUCGUCCACCCAAACUGGCUGCCACCAAAGCUCUGAUCAGCACCGAGAGCGAAUGUGCAAGCUCAGACGAUGGCGUGCGGAACAUUCGCGUCUCUAUAAAAGCCUCGUCCAAGUCAGUAAGUGAGUCUGUGCAGCCGUCUCUGGAUGAGAAUGACCAUCUGCGCUGUUAUCAUGAAACACAUGCUAAGAUAGAGGUUCCUUAUGAAAGUCACAAGCACUGUUUCAUUCCUGCACCUGGACGCCAGCACCUAGCCAGCAAACUGAUGAAAGGCAAAGACGUCACAGAGUACUCCAGUGGUGCAUCCAGCUCCGUAAGUGAGCUGGACGAUGCCGAUAAAGAGGUCCGCACACUAACAGCCAAAUCUUUCCGCAGCCUUGCAUGUCCCUACUUCGACACCAUCGAUCUCAGACCCUCGAGCGAGUCGUCAGUUUCAGAGCACAGCCUGAGCAUGAACAAAUGGUCCUCUUUCAUCGAUUUCAACUACAGGAAUUAUGUGAUGCAGGGUGGCAUCAUAGGCGAGCGCAAAAAUUCCACAUGUUCUGUGGAAAUGAGGAAGAGCACAGAAAGUGGAACCAUGACUGAAAGUAGAAGCCAUGAGACGAACACUCAGUCAUCAAAAUAUAAAGCAAGCUGUGAUACAGAGAGAAGAGCGAAAUGCACACAGAACAGAUCAAACAGCUGCGAGCCAUCAACAAGUCACACCGGCGAUCAGACCGACGUCUCUGUGGACGGAGUGCACAAGAAAGCCGUGUUCGCCUCCAGCCUCCUGCAAAACGUUAUCUCUAAGAAGAUGCAAUUCGAGCAAGAACGCAAACUGGAGUGUGGUGAAGUGAGUUCAGCACAAAGAGACAGCACAAGCUGCCAGGUUUUACAAAGACAAGCUUCAGAGUCAGGAUCUCUACAAUCCGUUGUCUCUGUGGAAGAAGUUGUGGAAAGUUCAAAUGCUACUUUCGUCAAAGGAGAGGAAGACGAGGAGGAGGAGCCAUGCAAAACAUCACGUAUACCAUCAAUAGAGAACAUGGAUGAGCCACCAAAGGCCUCACUGCUGGAGCAGAACAAAGUAUGUGCAGAGAAAAGUGACACUAUAUUCACCAAAGGUUACAUUGAAAGAGAUGUCACGAAUACAACCGCUUCAGUAGAGGCAGAAAAAGAAAACAAGGCAGCGUGCGCUGAAAUGACAAAUAGUAAAACAACAAAAAUGUCACACUUGUAUGUUCCUGGCUCGCGUUUUCAUUCAAAAGAAAGGGAAGCAGUGGAACCGUACACACCAAUGAUACAAACAACUGAUCUCAUCCAAUCAAACACGGUGGAUGCUUCAAACGGCAGCAAAGCACAGGAGAUCACAAUCCGCCUGCACAGCAUCAAGGAAAACAAAAACAACCUUCAGCAUCCCUUUAACAUUGCCAGCCUCCUGACACCAAACCUCACCAAGCACAGCAGCGACACCAAGAGUGAAAAAAUCCCUCACUUUACGGUGAGAGACAUUCGGGACAGUAGGUGCAAACUCCAAACGCCCAUCCAUCAGGUGAGAGACGUGCGAAAACUGGUCAAGAGUUCAUACCGGUUCGUGUCUAUGGAAAGCGGUGAGAAUAAAACCACAUCACAAGAAGAAAGCGAUGGCGUGAAAAAAGAUCCGGAUAAAAACGACAAGAAAGAAAAGACCCCAAUGGUGAUCAAAUGCCAUUCAGUGAACACAAAUUCAAACAGACAGAACGACCCGGAAAGCGAGAGGUCACCGAUGCAGACCAUCUCCGUGCAGCAGGAGCUUCAGGUAAAGUCAUCCAGAUUUAAAGAAAGCAGUGAUAAAAGGGUUGAGUGCAAAAUGCUAAACCAGGUGGCACUCGAGAAAAUAAAAGCAGCUGUAAAGACCAUGGAACAGCUGUAUGUUUUUGACCGUAACGAGUGGCGGCGUAAGACGGAGGCACCGCGGCCAGUGACAGACAGCCAUGUCCUCUCACUGAUCACUAGGGAGGAACAAGGAGUUGAUAGCGAGAGGUUCGUGAGAGCAGAACCCCCAAAAAACUCAACUCGUGCUGCAGGCACAAACUUCACCAGAACAAUCACUCAUCAUCUGCAACAGGAUGCUCAGUGUUCCAAUGCCUGUAGCAACAUCUCCAGAUCCACCAAAAGCCCCUUUUCCCUCAAAUUCUGCCCUUCAAAAUGCACAAUGGAGAAACGAGUUGAGGAUGAAGCCGGAGUCACAGUCACCAGCCCUGUGAUGGAUUCGGUACUUAAACAUCCACCCGCACAUGUAUCAGAUCCCGAAAAUUAUCUAACCAUCCCAAUUAAGCCACGCCCCUUAGACACAACACCCCAUUGCUCCGAACAAAUCCUCGACCCCACCGCACAGCCUCAGCUUCAGCCCUGCCCGCCUCUUCAGCGCUCACCGGUCGUGACAGAGUCGUGGUCUCCUGGGAGCCCAAUGCUGACCUUCUGUCAGCCUGCACAGAUCCUGUGUGUCACACCUCCUACAGACCCUCUCAUAUCCAACAUGCAGCGCAAGCUACUACUGGAUCCCAUAACAGGGCAGUGCUACCUGGUGGACACGCCCAUCUCCCUGCAGCCCGUCACUCAGAGACUCUACUGCCCUGAGAGUGCUCAGUACCUGGAUGUACCAGUGGCCCUGAGCCCAGCGGCAUAUCUCAUUUCUCCACCCUCCUUUGUACAGCAACAUUCAACCCCUGUUUCCUCACAGGGUGAGAGUGCAAGCACUAGAACAAGUAUGGAAGUGGGCGGGGCUAAACCAGUCAUCAGUAUUACAUCACAACAAGGACCACGCAUCGUGGCCCCGCCUUCUUUUGACGGCACAACUAUGAGCUUCGUAGUGGAGCACAGAUGAGCACAGAUGUCUGUAAGUGUGUGUGUGCGUGUGUGUGUUGAGGAGGGUACCCUGGCUCUCACAUCGGAAUGAACUUUAAGGGUCCCACAGAAACUUUGUCACUUCCUGUGCCAUUUCAGCUUCCUGUCAGCACUGCUGUUUGAAACCGAGCCCUAUUUUUCCCCCAGAUUGAGUCUGAAAGAAGGAAGAGUUCAUACACCAUUCAUAGGAGCAUAAUAAUGCAUGGAAGGCACUCACAAGACUCCUUAGACUUAAGAUUUUAUUUGAAGUACAUCACCAGGCUCCAUGGAGAGUUUAGAGACUUUCCUUUAUGUAUUUGUACAUAUUCUGUCUCUCAAACUCAGAGCCAUUUGUUCCUACUUUAAAUGUUCUGUUGAAACUGUUGAAUAUUGUGAGAGGCGUCUGAUGCAUUAUUAAACUCUUACGCAGGGUUUAUGGACAUCCAUAGAUGAGACUGUGUGUAAUGUAUGUGUGUCAUUUACUAAAGAUUCAUUGUGAUAUACAGUAUUAAACAUUACAUUAUACAUUUUCUGAAUAAAUCCUAAGUGUUAGAGUCACAGUGAUUUGCUCUCUGUAAACAAGCACUAAUUGCUAAUAAGCUAAUAAGCAUUUCUGCUAAAAUGGUACUCAGAAUUUUCAUCAUUUCUCUUUUUGUAUUUUUUGUCUUUGUGUUUGCUGUUUUUCGAACAUAUGUUUAUCACAUGAACCAUUUUUUUCUGGACUGUUUUACUACUAAGAAAAACAACAACAAAAUAAACCCACAGGUUCAACAAUGAAAAUAAGGUCAAUGUUAGCAUGAACGCUUUAGCUCAAUGCUAACUGGCCUUGAUAUAUUAGCAGCAAUGUUACACUUGGUGAAGUAAAUAUGGGGAAAUUUUUAUAUCUAAACAUUUACAUUACACUUUAAAGAUUGAGUCGUGUUAGCAGGCUAAAUUUGUUUUACAGAUGUUUGCUUUGCACAUCAAACAGAUUGACAUUACAAAGGAAAAAAAACAUUAAAAAAAGAGAUGCA